rnacentral:rRNA from 1 species
UACGUAGGUGGCAAGCGUUAUCCGGAUUUAUUGGGCGUAAAGCGAGCGCAGGCGGUUUUCUAAGUCUGAUGUGAAAGCCUUCGGCUUAACCGGAGAAGUGCAUCGGAAACUGGAUAACUUGAGUGCAAGAGAGGACAGUGGAACUCCAUGUGUAGCGGUGGAAUGCGUAGAUAUAUGGAAGAACACCAGUGGCGAAGGCGGCUGUCUAGCUUGUAACUGACGCUGAGGCUCGAAAGCAUGGGUAGCGAAC